ACGGGGGGGGCAAGCGUUGUUCGGAAUUACUGGGCGUAAAGGGCGCGUAGGCGGCCUUCUAAGUCGAACGUGAAAUCCCCGGGCUCAACCCGGGAACUGCGUCCGAUACUGGAAGGCUUGAAUCCGGGAGAGGGAUGUGGAAUUCCCAGUGUAGCGGUGAAAUGCGUAGAUAUUGGGAGGAACACCAGUGGCGAAGGCGGUCCCCUGGGCCGGAACUGACGCUGAGGCGCGAAAGCGUGGGUAGCAAACGGGA
rnacentral:rRNA from 1 species